UACAGAGGUCCCAAGCGUUGUUCGGAUUCACUGGGCGUAAAGGGUGCGUAGGUGGUCAGAUAAGUCUGAUGUGAAAGCUCUGGGCUCAACCCAGAAAUGGCAUUGGAUACUAUUUGGCUUGAGGAAUGGAGGGGGGACUGGAAUACUUGGUGUAGCAGUGAAAUACGUAGAUAUCAUGAGGAAUACCAGAGGCGAAGGCGGCUACCUGGACAAUUGCUGACGCUCAGGCACGAAAGCGUGGGGAGCAAAAGGG
rnacentral:rRNA from 1 species